rnacentral:antisense_RNA from 1 species
CCCUUGGCUCACCUCCCCCCAUCCGCGCACCAGGAGCGGAGAGCCGGGAACUAAGAACAGUAGACCCAGAGAGGUGAGACCGGCCCCAAGCACCUGAGUCCUCAAGAAGAGUGACCGUUUCCGUGCCAGGAGGAUCCAAGGUGGGGAAACUGAGGCUGAGAGAGAAGGACGUUGACCAAGGUCACAGGGCAGGGGCAGCAGAGACAGAGUCUCACUAUGUGCUCAGACUGGUUUCCAACUUCUGGCUCAAGCAAUCCUCCUGCCUUGACCUCGCUAAGUGCUGGGAUUACCGAAUGGGAGCCACCAUGCCCAGUCAAGGUCUUUACUCAAAAUUCACCUUCUCCCUGGGUCUUCUCUGGAGACCCUAGCUUUAAAAAUAAACAAGCAAA